UGCACCCUACGGGGGGCAGCAGUGGGGGAUAUUGCACAAUGGGGGGAACCCUGAUGCAGCGACGCCGCGUGGGUGAAGAAGCGCCCCGGCGCGUAAAGCCCUGUCAGCAGGGAAGAAGAAGGACGGUACCUGACCAAGAAGCCCCGGCUAACUACGUGCCAGCAGCCGCGGUAAUACGUCGGGGGCAAGCGUUAUCCGGAUUUACUGGGUGUAAAGGGGGCGCAGACGGCGAUGCAAGCCAGGAGUGAAAGCCCAGGGCCCAACCCCGGGACUGCUCUUGGACCU
rnacentral:rRNA from 1 species